rnacentral:rRNA from 1 species
AACGAACGCUGGCGGCAUGCCUAACACAUGCAAGUCGAACGAGACCUUCGGGUCUAGUGGCGUACGGGUGCGUAACGCGUGGGAAGCUGCCCUUAGGUUCGGAAUAACUCCCCGAAAGGGGUGCUAAUACCGGAUAAUGUCUUCUGACCAAAGAUUUAUCGCCUUUGGAUGGGCCCGCGUUGGAUUAGCUAUUUGGUAGGGUAAAAGCCUACCAAGGCGAGGAUCCAUAGCUGGUCUGAGAGGAUGAUCAGCCACACUGGGACUGAGACACGGCCCAGAAUCCUCCGGGAGGGAGCAGUGGGGAAUAUUGGACCAUGGGCGAAGGCCUGAUCCAGCAAUGCCGCGUGAGUGCUGAAGGCCUUAGGGUUGUAAAGCUCUUUUAACCGGGAUGAUAAUGACAGUACCGGGAGAAUAAGCUCCGGCUAACUCCGUG